rnacentral:lncRNA from 1 species
GUUAGUAAAUAGAUGUUAAACAUUCUUUAGAAUGGGGCAUAAAGAGUUAUUUUCUGACGAUACUGGCGCAAUUUUAGAAUUCUCCAAAAAAAAAAAAAAUACAAGAAUAUUUGUGGAUUUAAUACCAUUAAUAUGCGAUGCUAAAAAAUCUAUAUACCGUUCUAAAGUGGCAUUGUGGCUUAAUUGACUUGUCGUCUAAGAAUAGAUAAACAAUAUCUUCUCUUUACCUGAAAUAAUAGUACAUAGAAGAAGCAAAGUCGCUUCUUUUUAUGCAUGCGCUCUUACUUGAACCACUCCAAGAAAAGAUCAAGACAAAAGACCGAAGUGUGCCGAGCCAACGACACGAAUAGCUAGACAAUUUAGUCUAGAGAAAGAGUUGAUAUUUUACGGCUGGUGGAAACAAUUCUAGUCAUUGUCAGAUGCUUUUAUAGACUUGGCUUCACCUCCCGAGGUUUAACCACCCUAAUGCUCAAAGGUCGCACACAGAAUCUUGUUUAUUUAAUCGAAUUAACUGUGUUAAUAACGUACGUCAUUAUGCAUAAGUGUAUUAUUUACACUCCGGAUGGCAUAAAAAAAAUGCACUGUCAAUCUUUUAAGAAAUUCUGUUUGUUUGUUUGUUUGCUUGUUCCGAUUAUUCCCUCAGCAUAUCUCUUAGAUUAUACACAUAUAUUAAAGUGUUAUUUCGAUUGUUUACCUAAAGUAAGGAAUGG